GGAUCAGUGGCGAACGGGUGAGUAACACGUGAGCAACCUGCCCCUGACUCUGGGAUAAGCGCUGGAAACGGCGUCUAAUACUGGAUACGAGUAGCGACCGCAUGGUCAGUUACUGGAAAGAUUUAUUGGUUGGGGAUGGGCUCGCGGCCUAUCAGCUUGUUGGUGAGGUAAUGGCUCACCAAGGCGUCGACGGGUAGCCGGCCUGAGAGGGUGACCGGCCACACUGGGACUGAGACACGGCCCAGACUCCUACGGGAGGCAGCAGUGGGGAAUAUUGCACAAUGGGCGCAAGCCUGAUGCAGCAACGCCGCGUGAGGGAUGACGGCCUUCGGGUUGUAAACCUCUUUUAGCAGGGAAGAAGCGAAAGUGACGGUACCUGCAGAAAAAGCGCCGGCUAACUACGUGCCAGCAGCCGCGGUAAUACGUAGGGCGCAAGCGUUAUCCGGAAUUAUUGGGCGUAAAGAGCUCGUAGGCGGUUUGUCGCGUCUGCUGUGAAAUCCGGAGGCUCAACCUCCGGCCUGCAGUGGGUACGGGCAGACUAGAGUGCGGUAGGGGAGAUUGGAAUUCCUGGUGUAGCGGUGGAAUGCGCAGAUAUCAGGAGGAACACCGAUGGCGAAGGCAGAUCUCUGGGCCGUAACUGACGCUGAGGAGCGAAAGGGUGGGGAGCAAACAGGCUUAGAUACCCUGGUAGUCCACCCCGUAAACGUUGGGAACUAGUUGUGGGGUCCAUUCCACGGAUUCCGUGACGCAGCUAACGCAUUAAGUUCCCCGCCUGGGGAGUACGGCCGCAAGGCUAAAACUCAAAGGAAUUGACGGGGACCCGCACAAGCGGCGGAGCAUGCGGAUUAAUUCGAUGCAACGCGAAGACCUUACCAAGGCUUGACAUAUACGAGAACGGGCCAGAAUGGUCAACUCUUUGGACACUCGUAAACAGGUGGUGCAU
rnacentral:rRNA from 1 species